ACACCGUUGGUGAAGUGGUUAUCAUGCUUGCCUUCCAUGUUCAUAUCAUUGCUGAAUAUGAAGCAAGCGGCUCGGGUUCGAUUCCCGAACGGUGUA